UACGGAGGGUGCGAGCGUUGUCCGGAAUCACUGGGCGUAAAGGGCGCGUAGGCGGCGCGAGCAGUCGGCGGUGAAAGCCCGGGGCUUAACUCCGGGUCUGCAUUCGAUACGGGCUAGCUAGAGUGUGGUAGGGGAGAUCGGAAUUCCUGGUGUAGCGGUGAAAUGCGCAGAUAUCAGGAGGAACACCGGUGGCGAAGGCGGAUCUCUGGGCCAUUACUGACGCUGAGGAGCGAAAGCGUGGGGAGCGAACAGG
rnacentral:rRNA from 1 species